AGUUAUACAACUCCCACACCAU
rnacentral:rRNA from 1 species